AACUCAUCAGGCUCAUGACCUGAAGAUUACAGGUUCAAAUCCUGUCCCCGCACCGUA
rnacentral:tRNA from 1 species